CCUACGGGGGGCUGCAGUGAGGAAUAUUGGUCAAUGGGCGUAAGCCUGAACCAGCCAAGUCGCGUGAGGGAUGAAGGUUCUAUGGAUCGUAAACCUCGUUUAUAAGGUAAUAAAGUGUGGGACGUGUCCUAUUUUGUAUGUACCUUAUGAAUAAGGAUCGGCUAACUCCGUGCCAGCAGCCGCGGUAAUACGGAGGAGCCGAGCGUUAACCGGAUUUAUUGGGUUUAAGGGGUGCGUAGGCGGCAUGUUAAGUCAGCGGUGAAAGUCUGUGGCUCAACCAUAGAAUUGCCGUUGAAACUGGGGGGCUUGAGUAUGUUUGAGGCAGGCGGAAUGCGUGGUGUAGGAGUGAAAUGCUUAGAUAUCACGCAGAACCCCGAUGGCGAAGGCAGCCUGCCAAGCCAUGACUGACGCUGAUGCACGAAAGCGUGGGGAUCAAACAGGAUUAGAUACCCUAGUAGUC
rnacentral:rRNA from 1 species